CCUACGGGAGGCUGCAGUGGGGAAUAUUGGACAAUGGGGGGAACCCUGAUCCAGCCAUGCCGCGUGUGUGAAGAAGGCCCUCGGGUUGUAAAGCACUUUCAGUGAGGAAGAACGCCUGGUGGUUAAUACCCAUCAGGAAAGACAUCACUCACAGAAGAAGCACCGGCUAACUCCGUGCCAGCAGCCGCGGUAAUACGGAGGGUGCGAGCGUUAAUCGGAAUUACUGGGCGUAAAGCGCGCGUAGGUGGCUUGAUAAGCCGGUUGUGAAAGCCCCGGGCUCAACCUGGGAACGGCAUCCGGAACUGUCAAGCUAGAGUGCAGGAGAGGAAGGUAGAAUUCCCGGUGUAGCGGUGAAAUGCGUAGAGAUCGGGAGGAAUACCAGUGGCGAAGGCGGCCUUCUGGACUGACACUGACACUGAGGUGCGAAAGCGUGGGUAGCAAGCAGGAUUAGAUACCCUAGUAGUC
rnacentral:rRNA from 1 species